rnacentral:rRNA from 1 species
CCAUGAAGCUGGAUUCGCUAGUAAUCGCGCAUCAGCCACGGCGCGGUGAAUACGUUCCCGGGCCUUGUACACACCGCCCGUCAAGCCAUGGGAGGCCGGGGGUGCCUGAAGGCCGUGACCGCGAGGAGCGGCCUAGGGUAAAACUGGUGACUGGGGGCUAAGUCGUAACAAGGUACC